rnacentral:lncRNA from 1 species
UUAAAAAAAGAAUUCCACUAACAAACUAAAAUAAAAACUAAAUUUAAAUAAAUCUAUAUAUACCUUCAAAUAAAAAAAAAAUUAAUAAACUAAGAAAAACAAAAAAAAAACCACCCAAAGCCAAAACGGAUGUCCCAUAUUCGUUUGGCCUUGAAACGGAUGUGUGACAUCCGUCGACAGAUAUGCGACAUCUUUUCAAGGCCAAACGGAUAUGCGACAUCUGUUAUGGCCUGAGCGGUCAUCGUCUUCCUACACACAGGCAACACACAGCGAAACACCAACGAAACACCAACAAACCAUGCACACAUUCAAUAAAUCUAAGAUCUAUGCAUGAAUAUUAAAGACUAAAAAUCGAAGCACCUGGUAAACGACUGCCCCAAUCUGCACCAUGCACCACCAAUGCGAACCACUACCCUACUAUCGAAACACCACCGCACCGCACCACCGCACCGCACCACCAUGGAGAGCAAAGGUAGAUUUUGGAAGAAGUCAGCCAAAGAAAAAAAAGUGUGACGGAGGUGGGAGAAGAAGAGGCGGAUCUCAAAAGCUUAAGGGGGGUAGGGGUUGGGACUAUGAGUAGAGAGUAAAAAUGAGAAAGAAAAAGUAAAAUCUUAGGGUUCGGGGUUACUAUGCUAAAUAACAUUAAAAGUAAAAACGUAUAAAAAAAAUAAAAAGGUUAAAAAAGGAAAAGAAAAAGGUUAUUUUUUUAAUUAAAAAAAAUGAAGAAAGUUUGGGAGGUAGAGGGACGAAACGGGAAAGUGGAGGGAGCAACCCCUUCGCGUAUUAGGCUUUUAGUUCAAGGCGCAAUAUGAAAUAAUACUAUUCACUUAACUAAAUAAAAGGCUUUUAUUUCUGCACCCUACAACCUUUUUGCACACCUCACCAUAUUUGUCAAAAUGACUACUUUACCAUAUUUCAGAAAGUUUCUUAAAUUUCAAAAAUAAAAUUUUUGAAAUAGAAUUUAUGAAAUCAGAUUUUCAUAUUAGAAUUUUUGGAAUAAAAUGAAAUACAUUAUUGAAAAGGAUUUUCUAAUGUAGUUUGAUUCCUGUAAAAUUAGUGAGGUUUAACUUUGAUUUUUAUAUAAAAAAGUAUCUUAUAUUCCUUCAUUGAAACAAUUGUUUUCAAUUUUUGUUAUAUUGAAUAUCUCCC